rnacentral:rRNA from 1 species
GAACCGGGCGAACUGAAACAUCUAAGUAACCCGAGGAAAAGAAAUCAAACGAGAUACCCCAAGUAGCGGCGAGCGAACAGGGAAGAAGCCCAAACCGGUGAAGGAAACUUUACCGGGGUUGAGGACCAUCAGACCCGCGAAGAACCUUAGCCGAAACUGUUGGGAAACAGUGCCGAAGACAGUGAAAGCCUGGUAGGCGAAAAAGAGAAACGCGGAGAUGGCACCAGAGUACCGCGGGACACGAGAAAUCCCGUGGGAAGCCGGGGGGACCACCCUCCAAGGCAAAACACAGAUAUCGACCGAUAGCGCAUAGUACCAUGAGGGAAAGGUGAAAAGCACCCCGGGAGGGGAAUGAAAGAGAACCUGAAACCGUAUGUUUACAAGCAGUCGGAGACCGCUUAAUAAUAAGGUCGACGGCGUGCCUAUUGAAGAAUGAACCGGCGAGUUACGAAGCCUGGCAAGGUUAAGCAGGAAAUGCGGAGCCGAAGCGAAAGCGAGUCUUAAGAGGGCGCAAGUCAGGAAGCGUAGACCCGAAACCACAGUGAUCUACCCAUGUCCAGGUUGAAACACAGGUAAAAAUGUGUGGAGGACCGAACCUAUAUCCGUUGAAAAGGGUUAGGAUGAGGUGUGGGUAGGGGUGAAAUUCCAAUCGAACGUGGAGAUAGCUGGUUCUCCCCGAAAUAGCUUUAGGGCUAGCCUCAGGGAAAAGAUUGCAGGCGGUAGAGCACUGAUCAGGAGAGGGACCUACCCGGUUACCAAACCCAGUCAAACUCCGAAUGGCUGCAAUCAUACCUGGGAGUCAGACUGCGACUAAUAAGGGCCGCAGUCAAAAGGGAAACAGCCCAGACCAUCAGCUAAGGUCCCUAAUGCCGUGCUAAGUGGCAAAGGAUGUGGCAUUUCAUAAACAACCAGGAUGUUGGCUCAGAAGCAGCCACCAUUUAAAGAGUGCGUAAUAGCUCACUGGUCGAGAGACGCUGCGCCGAAAAUGUCCGGGGCUCAAGCACGGAACCGAAGCUAUGGCAUGAUAGCAAUAUCAUGGGUAGGGGAGCGUUCUUAUAAGGAAGAAGCAUGACCGGAAGGACAUGUGGACAAAUAAGAAGUGAGAAUGCCGGUAUGAGUAUCGAAAAGAAAGGUGAGAAUCCUUUCCACCGAAAGCCCGAGGGUUCCUGAGCAACGAUCGUCGACUCAGGGUAAGUCGGGACCUAAGCCGAGGCGAAAAGCGUAGGCGAUGGACAACAGGUUGAAAUUCCUGUACCGGAUCAAGUCGAUUGAGCGAAGGAGCGACGCAGGAGGGCACAUGAUCGCGCGGCUGGAAGAGCGCGUCCAAGUGCGUAUGUUGCAGCAGAGGAAAACCCCUGCGGCUGAAAGCAGAGACAUGAUGGGGAGUUAAAGGAAACUUUGACGAACUCAUGAAUCCCACACUGCCAAGAAAAACUUCUAGCGAGACAAGAUCCGCCCGUACCGUAAACCGACACAGGUAGGCGGGGAGAGAAUCCUAAGGUGCGCGGGAAAACCCUCGUUAAGGAACUCGGCAAAUUGCAUCCGUAACCUAGGGAGAAGGAUGGCCCCCGGUCAGUGAAGAGCAGAAACGCUCAGAGCUAAAAGGGGCGGCAGAAAAGAGGCCCAAGCAACUGUUUACCAAAAACACAGGUGCCUGCGAAAGCGAAAGCUGAAGUAUAGGUGCUGACGCCUGCCCGGUGCCGGAAGGUUAAGGAGAGAAGUUAGCGAAAGCGAAGCAUCGAACUGAAGCCCCGGUGAACGGCGGCCGUAACUAUAACGGUCCUAAGGUAGCGAAAUUCCUUGUCGGGUAAGUUCCGACCCGCAUGAAAGGCGUAAUGAUUUGGGCACUGUCUCAACGAGGGGCCCGGUGAAAUUGAAAUACCUGUGAAGAUGCAGGUUACCCGCGACUGGACAGAAAGACCCCAUGGAGCUUCACUGCAGCUUGAGAUUGAAUCCCGGUGACAGAUGCACAGGAUAGGUGGGAGGCGCCGAAGCAUUGCCCUAGGGCGGUGCGGAGCCGAUGUUGGGAUACCACCCUUCUGUUGCUGAGAUUCUAACGCGAGGAGUAACGACCCUGCGGACCCUCUCAGGCAGGCGGUUUGACUGGGGCGGUCGCCUCCGAAAGA